GGUAGCGCAGCUGGUCAGAGCAGGGUGCUAGUAACACCAAGGUCAUGGGUUCAAUUCCCAUACUGGCCA
rnacentral:tRNA from 1 species